GAUGAACGCUGGCGGCGUGCCUAACACAUGCAAGUCGAACGGAGUUACUUUGGUGAAGUUUUCGGACGGAUCUGAUUUAACUUAGUGGCGGACGGGUGAGUAAUGCGUGAGCAACCUGCCCUUCAGAGGGGGACAACAGUUGGAAACGACUGCUAAUACCGCAUAAUGUAUCCGGGAGGCAUCUCCUGGAUACCAAAGGAGAAAUCCGCUGAUGGAUGGGCUCACGUCUGAUUAGCUAGUUGGUGAGGUAACGGCUCACCAAGGCUGCGAUCAGUAGCCGGACUGAGAGGUUGAACGGCCACAUUGGGACUGAGAUACGGCCCAG
rnacentral:rRNA from 1 species